UACGAUGGGAGCAAGCGUUGUUCGGAUUUACUGGGCGUAAAGGGCGCGUAGGCGGCGUGACAAGUCACUUGUGAAAUCUCCGGGCUUAACUCGGAACGGUCAAGUGAAACUGUCGUGCUAGAGUACAGAAGGGGCAACUGGAAUUCUCGGUGUAGCGGUGAAAUGCGUAGAUAUCGAGAGGAACACCUGCGGCGAAGGCGGGUUGCUGGGCUGAUACUGACGCUGAGGCGCGAAAGCCAGGGGAGCGAACGGG
rnacentral:rRNA from 1 species